rnacentral:rRNA from 1 species
UACGAAGGGGGCUAGCGUUGCUCGGAAUCACUGGGCGUAAAGCGCACGUAGGCGGACUCUUAAGUCGGUGGUGAAAUCCUGGAGCUCAACUCCAGAACUGCCUUUGAUACUGGGAGUCUUGAGUUCGGGAGAGGUGAGUGGAACUGCGAGUGUAGAGGUGAAAUUCGUAGAUAUUCGCAAGAACACCAGUGGCGAAGGCGGCUCACUGGCCCGAUACUGACGCUGAGGUGCGAAAGCGUGGGGAGCAAACAGG